UAAACCAUCACAUCAAUGGUCAAUCAAGUGUUAAGUAGAAAUGAAAUGGUGGUUGGUUGUUAAAUUGUUUUAAAUGUCCUCAAAUACCUCCAGUAUAAAGCAUGGCUUACACUCUUCAAGUGGGAUAUAUGAGACUCUUUGUGAGGCAUCUUGUAGCAAGAACGUAUCACAAUAUUUGAAGUAUGUUUCUUCAUAUGAAAACAAUGGCAUCGUCCACGGGAAGCAAUUCAC
rnacentral:lncRNA from 1 species